UGAAGGCGGAGGGCGGGCGGGCCGUCGUCCUUGCCUCCCGGCGUGUGGCCACAGCACGUCACCGCGCUGGGACAGCCGUCGGGGAAAUAAGGAGGAAACAUGCCCUUUAUCAGUCGGGGUGACCGGGUAACACUGGGAAAAAACCCAAAAGUCAGGUGCUUGAUAUGUGUUAACCUACGCUCGUUUGCUCCCAGGAGUAACCUGUGGCCACAUGAGCUUCCUGUAUCGUUCCAGGAUGGUCUCGGGGAGCAUCCCGCGCACUCUUUUUAUAGUGGCAAAGGGCUGGCGAACCUAAAUUAAAACGUCAGUCCUGGACUGACGAACCCAUGCAGAAGUCUCUAAGGUGCCUAUCAGGAAGAGUCUGUUGGAUAAUAGUUAAAGCAGAACCCUGGAGCACACACUUCUGGGGCUGGGCGUCCCCAUAUGCCUGUUGGUGACAGAUGUGAGAGUUAACUUGGUUGUAAUAAACAUGAAAAUGCA